rnacentral:rRNA from 1 species
CCCUUAGAUGUUCUGGACCGCACGCGCGCUACACUGAUGCAUUCAACGAGUCCAACCUUGACCGAGAGGUCCGGGUAAUCUUUGAAACUGCAUCGUGAUGGGGCUAGAUUAUUGCAAUUAUUAAUCUUCAACGAGGAAUGCCUAGUAAGCGUGAUUCAUCAAAUCGCGUUGAUUACGUCCCUGCCCUUUGUACACACCGCCCGUCGCUCCUACCGAUUGAGUGUGUUGGUGAGGAGUUUGGAUUGGCCUCGGAAGGUGGUUCGCCACCGUCCGUAGCUGAGAAGUUCUCCAAACCGCCCCACUUAGAGGAAGGAGAAGUCGUAACA